UUUACUGAAAUACCAUGAAUUUCGAUCCGCCAUUCCAAACCAGGUAAGUCUCACUGGAAAUCGCCCUCGUGAGAACUGGUCCAUAACCAAGAAUGCCCCCGAAAAAUCCUGCAAAUGAACCUGCACAAUAUUCUAUAUGAAGAAGCACUGUCCAAAAAACAACUUAUCUACACUGCUUUCCUGGAUAGGAACGAAAACUAGUCACUUUCGAUUUCGAAAACGUCUGUUGGAAAUAGGAAUUAUAGCUCUGAUGCAUUUAACUUUCUUUGUUUGACGGCAGUCUUCUAGUUCCGGAAAGCGACCCACACCAUCAAGUGAUAGUCUUCAUCUCAAAUAUGCCUAAUUGCAUGUAAUGUAACAACCGUCAAUGUGACCUAAAAACGAAAUAAGUUAGAAUAUACUAUUUCUGCGGCUUCCAAGAAGACCAUAAAUACAACAUUCGAUUUUUCACUGCAA